UACGGAGGGGGCAAGCGUUGUUCGGAAUUACUGGGCGUAAAGGGCUCGUAGGCGGCCAACUAAGUCAGACGUGAAAUCCCUCGGCUUAACCGGGGAACUGCGUCUGAUACUGGAUGGCUAGAGGUUGGGAGAGGGAUGCGGAAUUCCAGGUGUAGCGGUGAAAUGCGUAGAUAUCUGGAGGAACACCGGUGGCGAAGGCGGCAUCCUGGACCAAUUCUGACGCUGAUGAGCGAAAGCCAGGGGAGCAAACGGG
rnacentral:rRNA from 1 species